AGCACCGGCUAACUACGUGCCAGCAGCCGCGGUAAUACGUAGGGUGCAAGCGUUAUCCGGAAUUAUUGGGCGUAAAGGGCUCGUAGGCGGUUCGUCGCGUCCGGUGUGAAAGUCCAUCGCUUAACGGUGGAUCUGCGCCGGGUACGGGCGGGCUGGAGUGCGGUAGGGGAGACUGGAAUUCCCGGUGUAACGGUGGAAUGUGUAGAUAUCGGGAAGAACACCAAUGGCGAAGGCAGGUCUCUGGGCCGUUACUGACGCUGAGGAGCGAAAGCGUGGGGAGCGAACAGGAUUAGAUACCCUGGUAGUCCACGCCGUAAACGGUGGAUGCUGGAUGUGGGGCCCGUUCCACGGGUUCCGUGUCGGAGCUAACGCGUUAAGCAUCCCGCCUGGGGAGUACGGCCGCAAGGCUAAAACUCAAAGAAAUUGACGGGGGCCCGCACAAGCGGCGGAGCAUGCGGAUUAAUUCGAUGCAACGCGAAGAACCUUACCUGGGCUUGACAUGUUCCCGACAGCCGUAGAGAUAUGGCCUCCCUUCGGGGCGGGUUCACAGGUGGUGCAUGGUCGUCGUCAGCUCGUGUCGUGAGAUGUUGGGUUAAGUCCCGCAACGAGCGCAACCCUCGCCCUGUGUUGCCAGCACGUCAUGGUGGGAACUCACGGGGGACCGCCGGGGUCAACUCGGAGGAAGGUGGGGAUGACGUCAGAUCAUCAUGCCCCUUACGUCCAGGGCUUCACGCAUGCUACAAUGGCCGGUACAACGGGAUGCGACACGGCGACGUGGAGCGGAUCCCUGAAAACCGGUCUCAGUUCGGAUUGGAGUCUGCAACCCGACUCCAUGAAGGCGGAGUCGCUAGUAAUCGCGGAUCAGCAACGCCGCGGUGAAUGCGUUCCCGGGCCUUGUACACACCGCCCGUCAAGUCAUGAAAGUGGGUAGCACCCGAAGCCGGUGGCCUAACCUUUUUGGAUGGAGCCGUCUAAGGUGAGACUCGUGAUUGGGACUAAGUCGUAACAAGGUAGCCGUACCGGAAGGUGCGGCUG
rnacentral:rRNA from 1 species